AGACGGAGGGGGCGAGCGUUGUUCGGAAUUACUGGACGUAAAGGGCGCGUAGGCGGCCAGCCAAGUCAGGGGUGAAAGGCCUGGGCUCAACCUGGGAACGGCCUCUGAAACUGGCGGGCUUGAGGGCGAGAGAGGAUGGCGGAAUUCCCAGUGUAGAGGUGAAAUUCGUAGAUAUUGGGAAGAACACCGGUGGCGAAGGCGGCCAUCUGGCUCGCAACUGACGCUGAGGCGCGAAAGCGUGGGGAGCAAACAGGAUUAGAAACCCCGGUAGUCC
rnacentral:rRNA from 1 species